rnacentral:rRNA from 1 species
UACAGAGGGGGCAAGCGUUGUUCGGAAUUACUGGGCGUAAAGGGCGCGUAGGCGGCCUGCUAAGUCGAACGUGAAAUCCCCGGGCUCAACCCGGGAACUGCGUCCGAUACUGACAGGCUUGAAUCCGGGAGAGGGAUGUGGAAUUCCAGGUGUAGCGGUGAAAUGCGUAGAUAUCUGGGGGAACACCGGUGGCGAAGGCGGCAUCCUGGACCGGUUCUGACGCUGAGGCGCGAAAGCGUGGGGAGCAAACGGG